UGGGGGAUAUUGGACAAUGGGGGGAACCCUGAUUCAGCGACGCCGCGUGAGUGAAGAAGUAUUUCGGUAUGUAAAGCUCUAUCAGCAGGGAAGAAGAGAGACGGUACCUGACUAAGAAGCCCCGGCUAACUACGUGCCAGCAGCCGCGGUAAUACGUAGGGGGCAAGCGUUAUCCGGAUUUACUGGGUGUAAAGGGAGCGUAGACGGUUGCAUAAGUCUGAAGUGAAAGGCCAAGGCUUAACCAUGGAACUGCUUUGGAAACUAUGAGGCUAGAGUGCUGGAGAGGUAAGCGGAAUUCCUAGUGUAGCGGUGAAAUGCGUAGAUAUUAGGAGGAACACCAGUGGCGAAGGCGGCUUACUGGACAGAAACUGACGUUGAGGCUCGGAAGCGUGGGGAGCAAACAGG
rnacentral:rRNA from 1 species